rnacentral:rRNA from 1 species
GAUGAACGCUGGCGGCGUGCUUAACACAUGCAAGUCGAACGGAAAGGCGCGGCUUUUGCUGGGUGCUCGAUUGGCGAACGCGGGAGUAUCACGUGAGUAACCUGCCCUUGACUGUGUGAUAACUUCAGGAAACUGCGGCGAAUACCGCAGAGGAUCUCCUGCUGCGUGUGGGGGGAUGGUAAGUGUCGGCGGUUGUGGCUGGACUCGCGGCUUAUGAGCUGGUUGGUGGAGUAGGGGCUGACCAAGGCUAUGACGGGUAGCCGGCCUGAGAGGGUGACCAGCCACAUUGGGACUGAGAUAGGGCGCAGACUCCUACGGGAGGCAGCAGUGGGGAGUAUUGCACAAUGGGCGGACGCCUGAUGCAGCAACGCCGCGUGCGGGAUGCCGGCCUUCGGGUUGUAAACCGCUUUCGCAUGUGCCGAAGCGUGCGUGACGGUAAUGGGUAAAGAAGCACCGGCUAACUACGUG